rnacentral:rRNA from 1 species
AGCAGCCGCGGUAAUUCCAGCUCCAAUAGCGUAUAUUAAAGUUGUUGCAGUUAAAAAGCUCGUAGUUGAAUUUCGAGACCGGUCUACUGGUCGUGCUUUUGUACGUACUGGUAUAAUCGGUUUCUCUCUUCUGACGAACUAUAAUGCCAUUAAUUUGGUGUUUUAGGGAAUCAGGACUGUUACUUUGAAAAAUUAGAGUGUUUAAAGCAGGCUCACGCUUGAAUACAUUAGCAUGGAAUAACGAAAUAGGACGUUUGAUUCUAUUUUGUUGGUUUCUAGGAUCGACGUAAUGAUUAAUAGGGAUAGUUGGGGGCAUUAGUAUUCAAUUGUCAGAGGUGAAAUUCUUGGAUUUAUUGAAGACUAACUACUGCGAAAGCAUUUGCCAAGGAUGUUUUCAUUAAUCAAGAACGAAAGUUAGGGGAUCGAAGGCGAUCAGAUACCGUCGUAGUCUUAACCAUAAAUUAUGCCGACUAGGGGAUCGGGAUGAUGUUAAAUUAAUGACUCA